GAUGAAGAACGUAGCGAAAUGCGAUAAGUAGUGUGAAUUGCAGAAUUCCGUGAAUCAUCGAAUCUUUGAACGCACAUUGCGCCUUCUGGUAUUCCGGGGAGCAUGCCUGUUCGAGCGUCAUUACAACCCUCAAGCUCUGCUUGGUGUUGGGCCCCGCCGCCCCGGCGGGCCCUAAAGUCAGUGGCGGUGCCGUCCGGCUCCGAGCGUAGUAAUUUUUCUCGCUUUGGAGGCCCGGGCGCGUGCUCGCCAUCAACCCCCAAUUUUUUUCAGGUUGACCUCGGAUCAGGUAGGGAUACCCGCUGAACUUAAGCAUAUCAAUAAGCGGAGGA
rnacentral:misc_RNA from 1 species